AGCGUGUGACGUCAUCACGAUGAGUCCAUAGUCGCAAUCGCUAUCGCCACAAUUCAAUUUAACGUUUUUACUUUUGAACGCUCAAAAAUAAUUUUGUUUUGUUUUAUUGUAGUUUAACACUCUGCUGGUCAUUUUAAAACCGAUAGAAAUGCCAACUAAGUGUUGCGUUCCUAAUUGCCGAGGCAAUUACAAAAAUGGGCCGCAAGUCUCAACAUUCACUUUUCCAAAGUCAGAGGAUUUAAAAAGAAAGUGGUUGGCCGCAAUUAAGAGAAUAGAUUUUGAACCGUCUCCUAACUCAAGAGUGUGUGAAUUACAUUUCAGCCAAGCAGACAUUGAAAGGGAGACAACUUACUUUCAUGAGAAGUCUGGACGGCUUCUUACAGCACCUUUAAGUCAUCCACGACUGAAGCAGGGUAAGUUUUAAAAUAGUUGUUACAUACAGGAUCAAUUUAUAGAAGUGAAACUUAAGUUUUAAUCCCAAGUAAGCUACAAUGAUUGUGUGUACCAUCAGCAUUAUGAUUAGUAAUUUGCAAAUCUAAUAAAUUAGUCAUACAUUUAAUACAUAACCCUUCUAUAAACUGAUCCACAGUCUUCUUGACUAUAAUAUCUGUAAUAAUACAUAAAAUUUUUACAUCUUCAACAUCCAACAUCUCUCUACACACACAAAUUCUCGGAGCCUGGAAAUGGAGGUGCCAUCUAUUAUUUACUCUUGAUUUGUAACAUAUUAAUUUCAGAAUAUUUCUGGGAUUUAAAUAAAAUUACAAUCCAUAUAAAUAUAAAAUAUAAUUUUGCAGAUGCUGUACCCCGUCAAUUUCCUGGAAUAUCUCCUUCCAAACCUGGCCUAU